UACGGGGGGGGCAAGCGUUGUUCGGAAUUACUGGGCGUAAAGGGCUCGUAGGCGGCCAACUAAGUCAGACGUGAAAUCCCUCAGCUUAACUGGGGAACUGCGUCUGAUACUGGAUGGCUUGGAUCCGGGAGAGGGAUGCGGAAUUCCAGGUGUAGCGGUGAAAUGCGUAGAUAUCUGGAGGAACACCGGUGGCGAAGGCGGCAUCCUGGACCGGUAUUGACGCUGAGGAGCGAAAGCGUGGGGAGCGAACAGG
rnacentral:rRNA from 1 species